UUUAGUUUCCGACAGGCCAGAAUAACACAAGUCAAGUAUUAAAACAUGAGGGUGGUUUGUGACUUUGUUCAUCGUAGACAAGUAGCUAGUACAAAAGUUGUUUCAAGUUUUUAAUAGAGGCAGAUCUUAGCAUAAAAACAUGGCGAGUUGUUAUAUCGAGGCUACCGUAGGAUAGCUUACCGCAUUGAAGUCUUUAGCCAAGAGCAGCAGAAGCAUAUUCGUUAGCUAAACUGACUAGCAUAGCUACCUAGCAACUGUAGCAUCACACUAGUGCAAAUGUCUAGCUACGACUGACAGCCAUACAGCUGGUGGAUAGCAUUACUCGCCCUAGACCUCACAUGCGUCAGUGCUUAUUCCGCGUUCAAAACAACUAGGACUAGGAACCAGUGGUGCGUUCAAGAUAACUGAAAAAAACGAGGCAAAUCCCAUUCCAAGUUGGUGGAUGCAUGGCUCACAGCAGAUGUUCAGGUAGCCUGGUGGUUAGAGCGUUGGAACAGUCGCUAGGCCAUGAAACCCCAAAUGAAGCAAGCUAUGCAGUUUUCCCAAAUCACUAACAAGAUCAGAGAAGCCCACAGAAAACUGAUGAUUCUAAAUCACCGACAGAGGGUUGAGGAACGAGUAAAACGCUUUCCAAACAAUGAUGUACUUUUAUAUAGUCAUUCAGCUUGUACAAUGUAAUUUGGAUCACAAAAUCAAUAGUUCACUUUGUACUUGGUUGGGCCCAGGGGUUUUCUUAUUCACCGUGCCCAAAUAAAUCAUACAUUAAAAGAGA